AUGGACUCCAGCUGCAAAAACAUUCCCUGCAUUCAGAGGCUGCUCUGUCUCCGGAGCUCCGCGCGCUGCUCAGCCCCGGCCGAAUUCCUGCCCGGCCCCCGCGGGACAGCUGGGCCGGAAAAGCCAGCGUGGAUGGCGGCCGUGGGGAGGGGGUGUGGGGAUGUGGGGGGUGGGACGGGCGGGGGGUGCUGGGUGGGGGCGCUGCGGUACCCAUGGGUGCGAGGAGGGAGGUGCUGGGCCGCCCCCCGCGUCCGUCUGUCCCUCGCUACCUUUCCGUGUCCAUCCAUCCCGUGUCCAUCCUCCCCACAUCCAUCCUCCCACAGCCACCCAUCCCCUGUGCAUCCACCCUAUGUCCAUCCAUCCCAUGUCCAUCUGUCUGGUGUCCGUGAAUCCCGUGUCCACCCAUCCCAUAUCCAUCCACCCAUCCCAUAUCCAUCCAUCCAUCCCAUAUCCAUCCAGCCAGCCCAUAUUCCACCCAUCCCUAACCCAUCCAUCCCAUGUCCAUCCAUCCCAUAUCCAUCCAUCCCAUAUCCAUCCAUCCCAUAUCCAGCCAGCCAGCCCAUAUUCCACCCAUUCCAUGUCCACACAUCCCAUGUCCAUCCAUCCCAUAUCCAUCAAUCCCAUGUCCAUCCAUCCCAUAUCCACCCAUCCCAUAUCCAUCCAUCCUGCACCACCUGCUUGUAUCCAUGCAGUGUCCACCUGUCCCUGUCCAUCCUAUGUCUGCCUGUCCCAUGUCGACCCACCUCAUGCCCACCCACCCUGUAUCCAUCCAUCCCACAUCAGUCUAUCCGUAUCCGUCCACGCCGUGUCCAUCUGUCCCACGUCCAUCUGUCCCCUGUCCACCUACCCCACGUCUAUCAGCCCACGUCCGCCUGCCCCCCGCCCCCCAUUCCCAUCCACCCCUCCCGCGCCCACCCCAUCAUCCCUGGGCAAACAGGGGACAGGCGAUGCGCCGAGCCCCAGCCCGUCGCCCUGCCCCAUCCCCUCGCCGCGGACGUGGGCUGGAUGUGGGGCACCAGCUCUGCCCGCUCCCAUCCUGCCUUCUCCAGGAUGGGCGACGCUGCGGGGAGGGGAAUGGGGACGGGAGAUGGAGGAACCCAGGGACGUGGGGACGCCGCCACCCCAUAG
rnacentral:lncRNA from 1 species